rnacentral:tRNA from 1 species
CGAGAGGUAUCGAAGUGGUCAUAACGAGGCGGUCUUGAAAACCGUUUGGGCGCAAGCCCGCGUGGGUUCGAAUCCCACCCUCUCGG